CCAUGCCAUAAUCUUGUACCUCACCGAAGUCUCCAUAUCCACCUGGAAAAUCGCUGACCCAUUAGAAAUCGCCCGCGAAACCACUGCCAAGUCAAGUCCACUGGCGUUAAAAUCACCGCCCUUCGUUGCCUUCUUCUUAUGCCCUUGAUAAAACUUUACGAUGGUGAAAUUCCCUAUAGAGUGAUUCCUGUUUGGGUUGUCAAAAAAUGUUACGUUUACUGGAUCGUAGUAGACUCCCUUGUCUUUGUUGGUGUUCUCCAGUCUGAGCUCAAAGAAAAGAGUGGUGUUUCCUGGAGGAUUUAGGGUCUUGUCAAGUGCUGGAAUGUAAAUUCGUUGGAGUAAACAUUUGGGGCUCGAGGUACGCAGGCUUAGCCACAUGAACAGAGCUGUUAGGCCUAGAGUGAAUAUGAAGCUGCAACAGCACCUGCAGCAACCACCACCGGAAUCCGGCAUGGUUUUCCGGUGGAUCCCUUAAAAGAUUCUAAUCAGAGAAAGCGAAGAAGAUCAAGCGUAUGCAGGAUUAGAAUUUAGAUUGGUUGCUGAGAACUAAGCUGUUUCCCUGCUCCGUUCCCUUUUAUAAAAG
rnacentral:misc_RNA from 1 species